GUAGGUGGCAAGCGUUGUCCGGAAUUAUUGGGCGUAAAGCGCGCGCAGGCGGUCCUUUAAGUCUGAUGUGAAAGCCCACGGCUCAACCGUGGAGGGUCAUUGGAAACUGGGGGACUUGAGUACAGAAGAGGAAAGCGGAAUUCCAAGUGUAGCGGUGAAAUGCGUAGAGAUUUGGAGGAACACCAGUGGCGAAGGCGGCUUUCUGGUCUGUAACUGACUCUGAGGCGCGAAAGCGUGGGGAGCAAACAGGGAUUAGAUACCCUGGUAGUCCACGCCGUAAAUGAUGAGUGCUAAGUGUUAGGGGGGUUUCCGCCCCCCUUAGUGCUGCAGCUAACGCAUUAAGCACUCCGCCUGGGAGUACGGCCGCAAGGCUG
rnacentral:rRNA from 1 species